rnacentral:rRNA from 1 species
CCUACGGGAGGCAGCAGUGAGGAAUAUUGGUCAAUGAGCGCGAGCCUGAACCAGCCAAGUCGCGUGAGGGAAGACGGUCCUAUGGAUUGUAAACCUCUUUUGUCGGGGAGCAAAAGACGCCACGCGUGGCGUUCCGAGAGUACCCGAAGAAAAAGCAUCGGCUAACUCCGUGCCAGCCGCCGCGGUAAUACGGAGGAUGCGAGCGUUAUCCGGAUUUAUUGGGUUUAAAGGGUGCGCAGGCGGAAGAUCAAGUCAGCGGUAAAAUUGAGAGGCUCAACCUCUUCGAGCCGUUGAAACUGGUUUUCUUGAGUGAGUGAGAGGUAUGCGGAAUGCGUGGUGUAGCGGUGAAAUGCAUAGAUAUCACGCAGAACUCCGAUUGCGAAGGCAGCAUACCGGCGCUCAACUGACGCUCAUGCACGAAAGUGUGGGUAUCGAACAGGAUUAGAUACCCCAGUAGUC